rnacentral:rRNA from 1 species
UAGGGAAUUUUGCGCAAUGGGGGAAACCCUGACGCAGCAACGCCAUGUGUGGGAUGAAGCAUUUCGGUGUGUAAACCACUGUCGGCAGGGAAUAAAGCCCACGUUUACGUGGGGGUGAAUGUACCUGCAGAGGAAGCCCCGGCUAACUUCGUGCCAGCAGCCGCGGUAAUACGAGGGGGGCAAGUGUUGUUCGGAAUCACUGGGCGUAAAGGGAGCGUAGGCGGAUGUUUAAGUUGGAGGUUUAAAACCGGGGCCCAACCUCGGAGCGGCCUCCAAAACUGGACGUCUUGAAUGGAACAGAGGCUAGUGGAAUAGGGGGUGUAGCGGUGGAAUGCGUAGAGAUCCCCUAGAACACCAAUUGCGAAGGCAGCUAGCUGGGUUCACAUUGACGCUGAGGCUC